UACGUAUGGGGCUAGCGUUGUCCGGAAUCAUUGGGCGUAAAGAGCGUGUAGGCGGUCCGGUAAGUCCGCUGUGAAAGUCGGGGGCUCAACCCUCGAAUGCCGGUGGAUACUGUCGGGCUAGAGUGCGGAAGAGGCGAGUGGAAUUCCUGGUGUAGCGGUGAAAUGCGCAGAUAUCAGGAGGAACACCAGCGGCGAAGGCGGCGCUCUGGGCCGGUACUGACGCUGAGGAGCGAAAGCGUGGGUAGCAAACCGG
rnacentral:rRNA from 1 species